GAGGCGUCAGUGUGAAGGGAAGGCUAAGGACGCAUCGGUGCUGGAGAGUUGAGAAUAUGCCUUCCCCUCCACCCCCAACCCAGUCACCUUAUUUGAAAAAAAAUUAAAAAACACCUUUUAUUUAAAAACCUAACCCUGGAAGUUUGCUCGAAUCACUGCAAUUGAAGGAAAAAUGCUCCAUGUCCCCUCUGCCAGUUGGUGUUUAUCAAAGGACAACGGAGGAAGAGAGACAAAGUGCCUGGAUGUGUGUGUUAAUCAAGAGUUGUCAGGACCCUGCCUCUAAAAGAAAGCGCUAAAAUGAUGCUUUUGACAAGACUUUUCUCAAAGUGGAUGCAGUCUAAGGGUUGGAAAACAAGGCCCAAUCAGGCUAGGUCUGACUUGUCGCCUGCUUUUGUAAAUAAAGUUUUAUUGGCUCACAGACACA
rnacentral:lncRNA from 1 species